UGAGGAACAUGACCUUCGGCGGGGGAUAGCCGGCCCAACGGCCGGGUAAUACCGCGUACGACCACAUGGGGACAUCCCCGAGUGGUGAAAGCAGCAAUGCGCCGAUGGAGUGCCUCGCGGCCUAUCAGCUAGUUGGUGAGGUAACGCUCACCAAGGCGACGACGGGUAGCUGGUCUGAGAGGAUGGCCAGCCACAUUGGGACUGAGACACGGCCCAGACUCCGUAGGGAGG
rnacentral:rRNA from 1 species